UACGUAGGGUGCGAGCGUUGUCCGGAAUUACUGGGCGUAAAGAGCUCGUAGGCGGUGUGUCGCGUCGGCCGUGAAAACCUGGGGCUUAACUCUGGGCGUGCGGUCGAUACGGGCAUCACUAGAGUUCGGCAGGGGAGACUGGAAUUCCUGGUGUAGCGGUGAAAUGCGCAGAUAUCAGGAGGAACACCGGUGGCGAAGGCGGGUCUCUGGGCCGAUACUGACGCUGAGGAGCGAAAGCGUGGGGAGCGAACAGG
rnacentral:rRNA from 1 species